rnacentral:lncRNA from 1 species
GCUCCACUAUUUUUUGAAUGAUGGGCUUAGCGCACGCUUUGUCUGCAUGAUCAUUUGCCUUCCACAAACAAUCUUUACAAUAAACUUAAAAUUAAUCUUAAGUCAUCAAAUCAAUUUUUUUGCACUAGUGAGCUUAAAACAAACUUUUUUUCAUAAAAGAAUAGUGCUUUGUUCAUUCCGACGCGAAAUACAAAUAAACGCUUCAAC